rnacentral:rRNA from 1 species
UACAGAGGUCUCAAGCGUUGUUCGGAUUCAUUGGGCGUAAAGCGCGUGUAGGCGGUCCGGUAAGUCCGCUGUGAAAGUCGAGGGCUCAACCCUCGAAUGCCGGUGGAUACUGUCGGGCUAGAGUACGGAAGAGGCGAGUGGAAUUCCCAGUGUAGAGGUGAAAUUCGUAGAUAUUGGGAAGAACACCGGUGGCGAAGGCGGCUCACUGGCUCAUAUCUGACGCUCAGGCGCGACAGCGUGGGGAUCAAACAGG